CCUACGGGUGGCAGCAGUAGGGAAUUUUCGGCAAUGGCGGGAACCCUGACCGAGCAACGCCGCGUGAACGAAGAAGUUAUUCGUAAUGUAAAGCUCUUUUAACAGGGAAGAAAGAGAACUUUGACGGUACCUCAUGAAUAAGCUCCGGCUAACUACGUGCCAGCAGCCGCGGUAAUACGCAGGGAGCGAGCGUUAUCUGGAAUUAUUGGCCGUAAAGGGUGCGUUGAUGGGAUAGUAAGUCUGUGGUAAAAAUGCUGGGCUCAACCCAGGAGGGCAAAAGAUACUGGAAAGCUAGAGUAUGACAGAGGCAAGUGGAAUGACAGGUGUAGCGGUAAAAUGCGUAGAUAUAGGGAAGAACACCAGUGGCGAAGGCGGCUUGCUGGGUCGAUACUGACGCUGAGGCACGAAAGCGUGGGGAGCAAACAGGAUUAGAUACCCCAGUAGUC
rnacentral:rRNA from 1 species